GUACGCUGGCGGCACGCCUUAUCAUGCAAGUCGAACGCAGUAGCAAUACUGAGUGGCAGACGGGUGAGUAUGAUGUGGGAAUCUGCCUUUUGGUUUGGAAUAACUCGGGGAAACUUGAGCUAAUACCGGAUAAGCCCUUACGGGGAAAGCUUUAUGCGCCGAAAGAUGAGCCCGCACUUGAUUAGCUAGUUGGUGAGGUAAAUGCUCACCAAGGCAACGAUCAAUAGCUGUUCUUAGAGGAAGACCAGCCACAUUGGGACUGAGACACGGCCCAGACUCCUACGGGAGGCAGCAGUAAGGAAUCUUGCACAAUGGGGGAAACCCUGAUGCAGCGAUGCCGCGUGAGUGAAGAAGGCCUUUGGGUUGUAAAACUCUUUCGUCGGGGAAGAAAAUGACUGUACCCGAAUAAGAAGGUCCGGC
rnacentral:rRNA from 1 species